rnacentral:rRNA from 1 species
GACGAACGCUGGCGGCGUGCCUAAUACAUGCAAGUAGAACGCUGAAGAGAGGAGCUUGCUCUUCUUGGAUGAGUUGCGAACGGGUGAGUAACGCGUAGGUAACCUGCCUGGUAGCGGGGGAUAACUAUUGGAAACGAUAGCUAAUACCGCAUAAAAUUGAUUAUUGCAUGAUAAUUAAUUGAAAGAUGCAACUGCAUCACUACCAGAUGGACCUGCGUUGUAUUAGCUAGUUGGUGAGGUAACGGCUCACCAAGGCGACGAUACAUAGCCGACCUGAGAGGGUGAUCGGCCACACUGGGACUGAGACACGGCCCAGACUCCUACGGGAGGCAGCAGUAGGGAAUCUUCGGCAAUGGGGGGAACCCUGACCGAGCAACGCCGCGUGAGUGAAGAAGGUUUUCGGAUCGUAAAGCUCUGUUGUAAGAGAAGAACGGGUGUGAGAGUGGAAAGUUCACA